UACGGAGGGUGCAAGCGUUAUCCGGAUUCACUGGGUUUAAAGGGUGCGUAGGUGGGCUGGAAAGUCAGUGGUGAAAUCCCCGAGCUUAACUCGGGAACUGCCGUUGAUACUAUCAGUCUUGAAUAUCGUGGAGGCUAGCGGAAUAUGUCAUGUAGCGGUGAAAUGCUUAGAUAUGACAUAGAACACCAAUUGCGAAGGCAGCUGGCUACACGAAUAUUGACACUGAGGCACGAAAGCGUGGGGAUCAAACAGG
rnacentral:rRNA from 1 species